CGCUUGUGUGCCGUGGGGAGCGGAGAAGAGUUAACCCUUUUUAUGCCAACCUAAGACCAUUGUGAGGAAAAGCGGCAUAGAAAAUGGAUGGGUGCCAACCUAAGAGCGCCCGGUGAUAGUGCAUGUAGUUAUAUAGUACAGUAUGGGUUAGACGGCGAACCCAAUAAUCUUUUUCCUUCCAUAACAUCUGCACACCCUUUCCUGCUCGCUCUCCAUUCGAACCCUGCCAAGCGUCUUCAAAGGGCACCUGAGGGAUGUAGCCUCUGCCAGCCAUCAGACCAGCACCGAGGUGGCAACAACCAGUUAAUCUGAGGGCUGAGGCACCCGCCCCCUCGCUUCUUCUUUGGUUUGAUCCACAUCACGUGGUGGACGUUUGAUCACGUUUGGCCAGCCUGGGAGCAAAGAAAGAAAGAAAGAAAAACACAGGAAAAUGAAUAAGAACAGAAGAAACAUUAUUACCAAAUGGGGACUUGGAACAGCCACAUUCAACCACAAAAAAGGAGCAGUGAACAACUCUCCUAUAUCCUCAGUAAAAUGUAUGAGUGGAGCCAUGGACUUAUAACAAUCAGGAAGCAAUGGGCCAGUGAGAGGAAUGAUUCACAUCGACUGCAGAGGAGGAAAAGGGACUGAUGCUGGAAGAGGGACAUGCAGUAUACCAACAUCACUGAAGGCUGGGAACACGUUCUUCAAAGCAUGAAGCGAGCAUAAUGGAAACACAUGUAAUCUCUUAUGUACACACAUUAUUUCUGCAAUUUGCAGCGCUUCUUUUUGACACCUGAAUACCCCUUUUCCCAAGAAAGCCAUUGUAAAAGAUCAUACAAAUAUGUUUUUUUGGAGAAAAUGAUCCAUGAGCUUGAGAGUACACUAGAUUCAUAGUCUGCAGAACGCAAGCCACUUAUAUUUGGACAGUUGUUUGUAACUUGUUUAAAUAGCUUUUGAGGAUACAUAAGGGUGAAUAAUACGUAUGUAUUAAGCGACUGAGGAGCGAAGUAAAAUAAAAUAUCAAAAUUGCACAAAAUAACUGCGGACACAAAAUUAGACUUUCAUGUAUUACAAAGUGACGAGGAAAAUAACUGUCGUAUUUUCCGGACUAUAAAUUGCACUUUUUUUCAUAGUUUGGUUGGUUACAGUCAGGUGAGGCUUACUGUAUACAGUAAUCCCUCGUUUGAUGCCGUUACUUAGUUCCAGACCCGACUGUGGUUAGUGAAUUUCUGCAAAGUAGGUUUCCUUUUUUGUAAAUGGAAUAUUUUCGUAGUUAGAGCACAGAAAACCUGUUUACAACCUUCUAAAUACGUUUUUUAAAAAUCACUAGAGCCUUGCAGACAUGAAAUGGCACCCCUACAGCCACGUUUACACUCCUAUUACCCAAUAUAGCAGGCAUAGUAAGAGAAAAUAAGAUAUAUUAGACAUAAAUAAGGCACAACGUAGAUUCACACAUUAGCAUUGGAAGAGUUCCUUGUUGUUUUUUUCUGGACACUGUACUUCCUGCUGUGGCUGUUGUCUCAUCCAUGUCACAUUACUGACACCCGGUGACCAGUGUAGAAUACUACAUAUUGCGUCUUUGAAAGCAUCUUCUGAAUGCCUUAUGUUUGUAUUUUCAUUUAUUUAGCCAUUUUUGUGCCAGAAAAUCUUGAAUUUAGGCCUAUAACAUGUAUAAUUUGCAUAAAUAUGCAUUUGUUUUACUAAUAAUAGGCCACAAAACUGUGAUAAUUUAUUGAUUUAAUAAUUUUGCAUUUUCCUGGUUUUAGUGUUGAGUUCAGCCUGUACACUUCAGAUAAAUAAAUAGGUAUUAUCAGUUUCUCAAUAGUAUUUAAAAUCGAGGGGGCCAUGAAAAUAUUUCAGCAUAAUAAUAACUGAGAACCACUGAUAUAAUUUAACAUGUUUUUAAAUGUUAAGUCAUCCUGACAGACAUGAACCAAGAAGUCAACAUUACCAUCGACAGCAGCGAGAGGGUGUUAUUGGCCAACAACAGUCAUGUGGGAUGAGAUCGGGAGCUUGGUGAACUUGCUUACCAGCAAGUUGCAUGUUGGACUUAUGGUAAUUUACCCCCCCAGGUAUGCUCUUUGUGCUAUUGUGUAGCUGAAUAACUGUUAAUGCGUUAUGCUAACAUACAGAACACCUAUUCAGCUUGUUGUUUGGUGUGCUAUUGUAGGCUUGAAUGACUUCCCUUUCCAGAUAAAAUGUCUGCUCUUUGUCUUCAAUUCUGUAAAAUAAAUCUCUAAAUAAAUGCGACUUAUCAAUAAAAUAUCAAAUUCAAUUGCAAGACAGCACAUAAUAAUGACGAAAAUUGACAUUUUAGUUAUAGCUCCCAUUGAGCACAAUCUGAGGAGAAACAUAACAGCCUCAAUUAUCAAAGUAUAUCAAAUAUCAACAAGUUAUUGUUCUUCUAGUGUACGAAAAUCAAUAUUUUAUCUAAACUUGGGCAUAUUUACGCGUCAUCGUCUGAACAUCAGCACAAAGUCAACAUUCAGGAGUCUUUAUUGGGGGAAGGGAUAGACUUCAGCGUCCUGACAGCCUGAUAGAUGAAGCUGUCCUCAGUCUGCUGGUCCUCGCUUGCAGGCUCCUCAGCCUCCUCCCGAAUGGCAAGAGCCUGGAAAGGUGAUGUGAGCGGUGGGUGGGG